UGCUCCCUUCCACUGCAAACACAUAAAAUUGAAAUGAUGCAGAGAUUAGCAUGGCCCCUGCAUGAGGAUGACAUGCAAAUUUGUGAAGCAUUCGGCUUAUUU